GUGGAGUAAUACAACAAGGAGGAGAAGAGCUCCAAGGGGAGGAAACAUAAGUGAGAGAUUAAGUGACAUGUUUUGGAAACAUUGAAUGGUUGGGCCUGGGUGAUUAUAGAGCACCAUUACAGGCCAGGAUGCCAGGCCAGCAGAGAGCUGACCCUGAAGGGCUCUGGAAGCCUUGAUGCGAAAGAAGUUGCAUGCUGAUCUGAAGGUUAUAAGAAGCCAGUGAAGAAUUUCAUCUGGAGGAGUAAGAUGAUCUUAUUUAUUUUAAAAGAUCACACUGCCCUUGAAGUGGACGGUGGACCAACUAUAGCGAGAUUUGGAGAUUAAGAAGCAAAGGAGAUAAACAUGAAUCUCUUCCAGAAGACCCAGGAAAAAUACCAUUGCGACCUGAUGGCUCUGAUUGGGUCACAUAUUCAAGCAUGUAAAGUGUCCAGGACUUCUGUGUGUCCAGAACUCCCUUCUGCAGCAUGUGACAAAAACUGCCCUCCAACUUUGCUGACUUUGUCAGAAACAAAUAAAUCUUGAGGUUGGAACCCUCAAGAAUGGGAUCAGUGCCUUAGAAAAGAGGACCCAGAGAGAUCCCUACCCACCUCUGCCAUGUGAGGAUUCAACCAGAAGUCUGCAGCCUGAAAGAGGGCCCUCACGUGACUGUGCUGACAUCCUGGUCUCACCCAGCCUCCAUAACUGGUAAAUACAAAGAACGGUUUCAAGAGGAUGUGAUCUUUCUCCAGGACAAUGCUUCCCAAACUUGUGUUCCUCCAAACCAGUCCCGCAAAGUGUUUUGAAAGACAAAUGGAAAAGUUUCCUCUGGCUGAAAAAAGUUUAGGAAAAAUUGGAUUAAAUAAAAUUUCUCAGUGUUUUUUACUUCUGGAUUGCUCAACAACUUAUAUAUGCAAAUGUAUCUUAGGCAUUUCCAAAAGUGGGCUGUAUUACGAUGCUGCAUUUCUCAAAGAGAAUUGGCCUUGAGAACCCUCUUUUACGGAGCCUAUGUCACCAUCUCGUGGAACUGGGGCUCUGCAGGACACACGUAGGGGAUGCUGCUGGGGGGCAUCAUCCAACAAACUUCUGAUUUGGGUUCUUUCUGUUGCCUCAUUUUUCUUUUUUUGCAUUUCCCACUUACUUUUUCAUGGCAAACUAUUAGUAGAAGAACCCUGCCAGGUGGUAGUUUAUCUGUUUAAAAAUUUUCCAUGUAAUUUGAGUAAAAGUGUCAUGGAUUUUUUUUAAAGAUUGUUUUUCCAUUAUAAAACAAUAUAUGCUGAUCACAG
rnacentral:lncRNA from 1 species